AAAAGUCAGACAAACAUGGAAAGGUUGCAGGAAGGGAGUGUGAAGCUGAGGUGUUUUGGUUCUUUUUUAAUAGGAAAGAUUAGAGCAUAUUUAAAUGCUGAUGGGAUGGGUCAAAAUUGAAAACAUAAGAGAAGGAGGAAAGGAUGCAUAGAGUAAAUUGUUUUAGAAGCUGAGAGAGGAUGGCAUCCCAACCACACAUGGAGAUGCCGGCCCUGAUGAGAAAAGGAGCAGGAGGACAGGAGAGGCUGCAGGCAGAGGCUGAUGCGUCUGUUGCUGGUAGAGCGAAAGGAGCGAGUUUCUUCAGAUCAGCAAAUGUCAACAGACAUGAGUUCUAUUACGGAGACCGAUUUGAUCAGAAGCAGAGGGAAGCAAUGUUAACUGUGGAAAAUCUUUGAACUAACACAGAGGAACCUUUUAAAUUAAUCUAUGACAGUCAAUAGAAAAAAAAAAGUCCAGUAAAAAAAAUGACAGUAAAGAAUAAGAAGCAGAUUUAUUCAGGAGUCCCCAAAGGACACAGAUUAUCAU
rnacentral:lncRNA from 1 species